GCGCCUCGGAUUGAUUCGAUUCUGCAUCACUACUUAAUGGUGGUGGUUGUCAUGGAGAUUGAAGGAUAAAAGGCGCGUUGUGGCAUUGGUUCUUGUGUGGGCAUCAAAAUUAAGGUGCGUUUUUCCUCUUUCCCAAACAAAACUUUUAGCUAUCAAUCUAGAAUUACUCGUCUAUCAUGUCGCUUCGCCCCGAAAUUAUUGAUGGAUGACCAGCCACACUGGUAAUUGAAUCUUUUGCGGUGGAUGUGCCUGAGGGAAGCACCAGGGACGAUACGUACUACUCCUCUGUCCAAUAAGGUCAAGCUGUGCUGGACCGCGCCGAGCCAAUUGAUCGGAUAUAGGGAGCUGAUGAUUAGCAGAGGCUGAGAUCAUGGCUGCGGUGGAUGAAGCUUCGGGGCCUCUCCUGUUUGGCAAGCAAGAGAAACGGGCCUCUGGCUACGUCAUCGAGUUUCGAGUAGGAGGGAUUUUCGUUUCAUUUGCCAUAUGCGUUAUUUCUCCGCAUUCGGGUGUCGCUGGAAGAUGAGGUUAUUAUUGGUUUGGUAUGUUGGAGGAGUAGGAACAUAAACGUAUUUACUUUUCUUUUCUUUUUUUUAACUU